UAACCAAAAAGAAGAUUGCCCAACCCAAUAAGUAGCCACCCCAAUAAACAAACCCAAGUUGUCCUUCCCCCUGCCCUAUCUCCACCUACUAGAUAGCCUGCCCGACCUUCCCAAUCAUGUUAGCAUUGUGGUUGCUCACAUGGCGAUCUACCCUGUCAGCAUAUCAAUCACGUCUACUAUCGGUGCGGAAGCACCUAGUAUCUUAUAAAAGAUUGCCCUCAGUGGCCAAAGGACGUGUCAGAUCUGUAGUCCAGGGUCGUGUGUACCACCUAGAUGAACCUGGUGCCUUCUCCACUCCUGUCCUUAUCCAGAGUAUGUUUUCUAUUCAUGAUACUUCUGCCAAGACUUUGAUCGAUACAUGUGUUACUUACACUUUUAUCUCAUGUGCAU
rnacentral:lncRNA from 1 species